GUAGCAAUAGCUCCGUAACACGUGGUCAAACUACCCUCUGGACCGGAAUACCCUCGGGAAACUGAGGCUAAUUCCGGAUACUGCUUUCAUGUUGGAACACAGAAAGUCGGAAACGGUCCGCCGCCGGAGGACGUGACUGCGGCCGAUUAGGUAGACGGUGGGGUAACGGCCCACCGUGCCGAUAAUCGGUACGGGUUGUGAGAGCAAGAACCCGGAGACGGUAUCUGAGACAAGAUACCGGGCCCUACGGGGCGCAGCAGGCGCGAAACCUUUACACUGCACGCCAGUGCGAUAAGGGGACCCCGAGUGCGAGGGCAUACAGUCCUCGCUUUUCGUGACCGUAAGAAGGUCUCAGAAUAAGAGCUGGGCAAGACCGGUGCCAGCCGCCGCGGUAAUACCGGCAGCUCGAGUGAUAGCCACUAUUAUUGGGCCUAAAGCGUCCGUAGCCGGCCGAACAGGUCCGUCGGGAAAUCCACCCGCUCAACGGGUGGACGUCCGGCGGAAACCGGUCGGCUUGGGGCCGGGAGACCAGAGAGGUACGUCCGGGGUAGGAGUGAAAUCCCGUAAUCCUGGACGGACCGCCGGUAGCGAAAGCGUCUCUGGAGAACGGACCCGACGGUGAGGGACGAAAGCUUGGGUCUCGAACCGGAUUAGAUA
rnacentral:rRNA from 1 species